CGUACGGAACUCCGGUGGAACCAA
rnacentral:siRNA from 1 species